CGCGAGGCGGCCCCGCCGCUUAACUCCUUCCGCGCCGGGCGGGGAGCGGCGGGGCCCGAGGUGGGGAGGGGGGGCACGGCUUAAACGGGGGAGCGCCUGGGAACGGGGGGGCGCGGGGGGCACGGCUUAAAUGGGGAGCGAUUAGCGGCGGGCAGAGGUUAAACGGCGGCGCCCCGGUGGCAGCCCGGCGGGACCACCCCGGCGCUGCCCCCGCUCGCCGGCCCGGGCGCGCUCCGGGUGCGCGGCGCCCGCUCCGCUCCGCUCCUCCCCCGGUGCGGCUGUCCCGAGCUGCGCGUCCCCGCCUGCCCCGGGCCGUGCCGCACCGCCGCGCUCGGUCGGCAGGAAAAAAAAAGAAAACAAAAAAAAUCGAGAAAAACCCCAAAUAAUAAAAAACAGACCCAAAAAAUGGAGCUUCCUGGCCUCGCCGCCGGUAAAUCCCGGUGGAUACUCCCCAAAGUUCGCGGCGCGCCGCCGGUGCGCGCCUGGCUGCAGGGCAGCACCGGGGGGAAAAAAAAGAAAAAAGGGGAGGAAAAAACCGUGCGAAAAGGGAAAAGAAUGGGGGAAAAGGAGCGUGCGGUCCCCGGGACCCCCCCGCGGGAGGAGCGGGGGGAGCGCGGAGCCCCCCGGUCCGCCCGGGCCCGGCGGGCACAGCUCCGCACCCGCGGAGCCCCGGCGGGGCGGGCACAGGCGCAGCCCCGGGACCCCCGACCCGCUCCCGAGUUCCAAAAUGACCUUUCCCUGCAUCGUUUUGGAGGCAUUGUGGAAACAGGUAGCAUCCCAGACCUGUGGAGGAGCUCAGCAGGAGGAGAACAAGUGGGGGGAAAUAUUCCCAUUGUGUUCUGCUGGUGGCUCAGGCAGUUUGAACAGAAGUCUGGGGUGGUCCAGCUCGUUGGAAACUUUUGUGCUCAAACCAGGAGGAUGCUGCAGCUGGAGCUAAUCCAUGAAUUUCUCCGUCGAGGGGAGCAUGGAAGACAUUACUAUUUAUAGAGCGCAGUGCGAGUGCCCAGCGGGACAUCCCCCAGCAAACAUCCCACCAGCCUGGAG
ensembl:lncRNA